UACGAAGGGGGCUAGCGUUGCUCGGAAUCACUGGGCGUAAAGCGCACGUAGGCGGAUUGCUAAGUCAGGGGUGAAAUCCUGGAGCUCAACUCCAGAACUGCCUUCGAUACUGGCGAUCUUGAGUCCGGGAGAGGUGAGUGGAACUGCGAGUGUAGAGGUGAAAUUCGUAGAUAUUCGCAAGAACACCAGUGGCGAAGGCGGCUCACUGGCUCGGUACUGACGCUGAGGUGCGAAAGCGUGGGGAGCAAACAGG
rnacentral:rRNA from 1 species